rnacentral:lncRNA from 1 species
UUGCACCGUAGAAAUACUUGCAGAUCUGCCAGGAACAUGAACGACAGGCAUUUUCCACAAAAGUUUCUCUCCAUCAGUCAAGCCAGGGACUGUUUUCUAAAGGCACGACAAAAGCAGUGAAUUCCCUCGUUAUAAAUCUCCUUGCAGGGAGCCAGCUUUGCAGUUGAGUGCCAACUUCCUCUGCCCAAGUUUCCUCUGUCCACACCGCAUGGGUUUGGCCUGGAAGUCUCAUGGAGUGUAUUGCCUGAGGUGGACUUCAAGGGAGGAUUUAACAUCACCGUGUUUCUGUCUGGGGACCAUUCCACAGUCAGGGAAAUUCAAGAAUAUCUGUGAAUUUUAACCAGAUUAUAAAAAGCAGUGUCUUUAAUCUGAGAGGCCAUCAUUUUCAGGAUGACAAGAUAUGACAAAAUAGAAUAAAACUGAUCUGUGAGUUCAAUGAAGAAGACUGAGAAGACCAAGUAAGAAUUUUGGAGAUCUUAAAAGUAAUAAUAAAAUGUAUUAAAAAUAUAGUUGUUAUUUUGGAAU